rnacentral:rRNA from 1 species
AGUGAACGCUGGCGGUAGGCCUAACACAUGCAAGUCGAACGGCAGCACAGUAAGAGCUUGCUCUUACGGGUGGCGAGUGGCGGACGGGUGAGGAAUACAUCGGAAUCUACUUUUUCGUGGGGGAUAACGUAGGGAAACUUACGCUAAUACCGCAUACGACCUACGGGUGAAAGCAGGGGAUCUUCGGACCUUGCGCGAUUGAAUGAGCCGAUGUCGGAUUAGCUAGUUGGCGGGGUAAAGGCCCACCAAGGCGACGAUCCGUAGCUGGUCUGAGAGGAUGAUCAGCAACACUGGAACUGAGACACGGUCCAGACUCCUACGGGAGGCAGCAGUGGGGAAUAUUGGACAAUGGGCGCAAGCCUGAUCCAGCCAGACCGCGUGGGUGAAGAAGGCCUUCGGGUUGUAAAGCCCUUUUGUUGGGAAAGAAAAGCAGCAGGUUAAUACCCCGCUGUUCUGACGGUACCCAAAGAAUAAGCACCGGCUAACUUCGUG